rnacentral:rRNA from 1 species
AAUCGCAGAUCAGAAUGCUGCGGUGAAUACGUUCCCGGGUCUUGUACACACCGCCCGUCACACCAUGGGAGCCGGAAAUGCCCGAAGUCAGUGGCCCAACCCCAAAGGAGGGAGCUGCCGAAGGUGGAGCUGGUAACUGGGGUGAAGUCGUAACAAGGUAUC